GAAAGCUAGUAGCAGAGAAGAGAUGCCAAGUGUCUGGAAGAGAACAUAAAUUUUAUCUUUUUUUUUAUAUACUGUACUUUUCUGUGAAAAUUUAAGGGUUUUUUGUGCGGCCCACAUAAACAUUUACAGUGUUUACAUUGCCCCUAGGGACACUUCCUGGGGCAGCACUGCUGUUCAGCAUCCCCACGCUCUGCAUGGGGAAGCUAAAUUUUCCUCGUAGAGAUGCAUUGAUUCAAUACAUCUCUAUGAGGAGGGGCUGAUUGGAAAAAAGUCUUGGCCCGCCCC